UCCCUGGUGGUCCAGUGGUUAAGACUUUGUGCUUCCAAUGCAGAGGGUGCAGGUUUGAUUCCUGGUUGAGGAA
rnacentral:tRNA from 1 species